rnacentral:rRNA from 1 species
CCUACGGGAGGCAGCAGUGAGGAAUAUUGGACAAUGGUCGGAAGACUGAUCCAGCCAUGCCGCGUGCAGGAUGAAGGUCCUAUGGAUUGUAAACUGCUUUUGUAAGGGAAGAAUAAGGAGUACGUGUACUUUGAUGACGGUACCUUACGAAUAAGCAUCGGCUAACUCCGUGCCAGCAGCCGCGGUAAUACGGAGGAUGCGAGCGUUAUCCGGAAUCAUUGGGUUUAAAGGGUCUGUAGGCGGGCUUGUAAGUCAGAGGUGAAGGCGCUUAGCUCAACUAAGCAACUGCCUUUGAAACUGUUAGUCUUGAAUGGUUGUGAAGUAGUUGGAAUGUGUAGUGUAGCGGUGAAAUGCUUAGAUAUUACACAGAACACCGAUAGCGAAGGCAUAUUACUAACAAUUAAUUGACGCUGAUGGACGAAAGCGUGGGGAGCGAACAGGAUUAGAUACCCUGGUAGUCCACGCUGUAAACGAUGGAUACUAGCUGUUUGGUUGUAAGACUGAGUGGCUAAGCGAAAGUGAUAAGUAUCCCACCUGGGGAGUACGCACGCAAGUGUGAAACUCAAAGGAAUUGACGGAAACUCAAAGGAAUUGACGG